UUUUUUCCAUCAACUUUUUUCCUUCUCAUGCGCCGAAAUUUUUACGCUAACCCUAAAAAUCCUUCCCUUCCUGAACCCCUCUCCGUGAAUCUCUCCUUCGAACUCCUCUCCGUCCAACCCCUCUCCAACGAACCCCUCUCCGUGAAUCUCUCCUCCGAACACCUUCAAACAAUGAGCUCCGAACACCUUUGAAAGCCUUCACUGCCAUCCGAAGCGAGCAGUGGUACCAUGUCGAUCUCAACCUCUACGCAUCUUCACCUUGUCCAAGCGCAGAUCACCGCACGAGAUCGAUACCCUAGUCACCAAUCUAAUGGAGGAGGAGGGAUGGCUCUCCGAGGACACUGCCAAGGGGGUUCCCUAGCUCGUUAGGGUUCUUAUGGCUGAUCGGUGGUGAGGAGGAGAGCCAAUCGGUGAGCUAAUCGGCGGCGGCGUAGAAGGUCAAGAUUGGAUUUUACUUCGCCACGUGGUGGGCGCUGAAUAUGGUGUUCAACAUCUACAACAAGAAGGUUCUCAAUGCCUUCCCCUACCCUUGGCUGACCUCCACGCUCUCCCUCAUUGCCGGCUAGCUCCCUCAUCUUUUAGGUCAAGUUCGACUUAACCUCUUCAAAGCACACUUUGAAACGACAAAAAAGAUUCGUGGCAAUGCAAAUUUCCGUUACGCAUGGCUUGCUUCCUCCAAUGAUGCGGUGGACGGGAUGAUGUCUCAUGGGGUUCUGAAGCAAGCUGUGCAAAAAUGACUUUAUGGAAAUGGACUUCAUCUUGCCCCUGCAAAUUUCUCUAAUAUCUGCAUUUUUGAAUUGGAAAGAAAGUGAAUCUCAUGCUUUCCAGAAUUCUAGUUCAUCCGACUGCUUAUUACAGCGGUGAAUGCUACAUAGGAUAACACAAAAUCUUUGUACAAAGUGAGGACAGAAAUGCAAAGUGCAUUGAACAGUCAUUUGAAGAUAUUUUGAAGGUGAAUGGAGGUAUU